UGGGGAAUAUUGCACAAUGGGCGCAAGCCUGAUGCAGCAACGCCGCGUGAGGGAUGACGGCCUUCGGGUUGUAAACCUCUUUUAGCAGGGAAGAAGCGAAAGUGACGGUACCUGCAGAAAAAAGCACCGGCUAACUACGUGCCAGCAGCCGCGGUAAUACGUAGGGUGCAAGCGUUGUCCGGAAUUAUUGGGCGUAAAAGAGCUCGUAGGCGGUCUGUCGCGUCUGCUGUGAAAUCCCGAGGCUCAACCUCGGGCCUGCAGUGGGUACGGGCAGACUAGAGUGCGGUAGGGGAGAAUGGAACUCCUGGUGUAGCGGUGGAAUGCGCAGAUAUCAGGAAGAACACCGAUGGCGAAGGCAGUUCUCUGGGCCGUAACUGACGCUGAGGAGCGAAAAGCGUGGGGAGCGAACAGGAUUAGAUACCCUGGUAGUCCACGCCGUAAAACGUUGGGCGCUAGAUGUGGGGACCAUUCCACGGUUUCCGUGUCGCAGCUAACGCAUUAAGCGCCCCGCCUGGGGAGUACGGCCGCAAGGCU
rnacentral:rRNA from 1 species